rnacentral:rRNA from 1 species
GUUGAACGCUGGCGGCAGGCCUAACACAUGCAAGUCGAGCGGAUGAAGGGAGCUUGCUCCUGGAUUCAGCGGCGGACGGGUGAGUAAUGCCUAGGAAUCUGCCUGGUAGUGGGGGAUAACGUCCGGAAACGGGCGCUAAUAUCGCAUACGUCCUGAGGGAGAAAGUGUGGGAUCUUCGGACCUCACGCUAUCACAUGAGCCUAGGUCGGAUUAGCUAGUUGGUGGGGUAAAGGCCUACCAAGGCGACGAUCCGUAACUGGUCUGAGAGGAUGAUCAGUCACACUGGAACUGAGACACGGUCCAGACUCCUACGGGAGGCAGCAGUGGGGAAUAUUGGACAAUGGGCGAAAGCCUGAUCCAGCCAUGCCGCGUGUGUGAAGAAGGUCUUCGGAUUGUAAAGCACUUUAAGUUGGGAGGAAGGGCAGUAAGUUAAUACCUUGCUGUUUUGACGUUACCAACAGAAUAAGCACCGGCUAACUUCGUG